rnacentral:lncRNA from 1 species
UGGGGGAGAAAAGCGCGCGGAUACCGGAUAUUUUCGCGUGGCUGUGGUCACGUGUGGAGCGCUUGGUCAAAAUCCCUAAAACAGGGUCCGGUCUUCCCCCAUCGGUCUGCUCCUCCCACUCCCACGACCAGCGCCGCCGCUUGCCCCCGUGUCCGCCGUCCAGUUCUGAUCCGCCGACUCCCUCUCCAUCGAGCGCCGCCCACAUCGCCGUUGAGCACCGACUCCACGCCUCCAGCACAGCCUCCCUCCCCAUCUAGCGCGGCCCCCAUCGCCGGCGACUUCCAGAUCCGCCUCCCUGGCCGGCGAACUUCCAGAUCUGCGUCCCUGGCCGGCGAACUUCCAGAUCCACCUCCGUCGCCGUGUGGAGGUGGCUCCCUCCCCGACCAGUGAGUGCCCGUCUUCUCCUCCCCCCUCCCCAUCUAUUGCUGUUCCAAAUAAUUUACAUGUGCUGCAGCAAUAUGUUCAUUGUUUAGUACACUAUUCUUGAGAUUAAAACAAUGAUGUUUUGUUGUUCUUCUGAAAGGAUUGAGUGCAACAGCCAUGGGGUAUUAUAGUCGCCAUCUGUCUAGGUAGUGUGCUGCGCAAUUUUAAGUUUGUGCAUACAUUAAAUCGGGUUGUUCCUCAAUUGGUCUCAUUGAUGAGUUGUGAUACAUAUCUGUAUGCGUGUCAAUGCCUGCAAGCUGUAGGUUAUGUCCCCUGUUCAGGAAGGUGCAGUUUACGUAUGCAUGCUUUAUUGUUUUCUCUUCAUUGAAGGUCUUACAAAAUCAGGAAGUUGUAGCGCUACAAAGGCCAAGUUUGAGAAGUGACAUUGCCACACCUCAACCCUCUCGAUCAAGAAGUCCAAUCCAGGCAUGUUGGUAAGUUCCACUCAUGGAAAGUUUGUUGAAAGAGCAUGUUUUCAUAUGUAGGAAAGAAAGUAUGGGCCUGCAGCAGCAACAAACUUGAACACUACAAUUAUUGUUAAUCUGAAAUUAAAGCGACAUGCUAUGUCCAUGGUUUCAGAAGAACCCACCACAAAGCAUCUUCAAGACGCACAUCCAGUAUAUUGGAAGGAACGUCAUCUCGAUCUUCAAAGUUAUGUUCCUGGUACUUCUUCAUAGUUGCAGUCUGCACUUGGCACCAAGAAAAGACCUUUUCAUUUGUUUGGUGACUAAUAGCAUGUGUGUCAUGAGCUGGAGUUUACCUUUGUGUUUGAAAACUUGUAUACAUAUAUUACAGUUUUGCCUUUCACCAUUGUUCAUUGAAAUAUGCUAUAUUCUUUUCCAUUGUAGGUGAAUUGAUCCUUCCAAGCCCAAGAGGAUGCCGGUACUCCGCUGGCAGAUCCUUCCCAUGCUGAAGGCCAUGUUCAUGCUACUCAUCUGGAUGAGCAUGGUUCUACCCCAAGACAGGAUAUAUACCAUUUGUUGCACUACAGUUGGUAUAUAGCAAGAUGGAUAAGAAAUACCCAAGAGCUUCUUCCUUUUCAAGAUUAGAAGAUGAAUGAUAGUGAUACGGUAAGUUGUUGUUAUGAUCCCCAAUUCCUCUAUGCACAAACUUGACAAUGGUUGUGAUCAUGUUACUUCUAUGGUUAGCAAAGUAAACUGCAGCUGAAUUAUACAAGUAGAGCAAUGUAGUAUAGUGCAUGUAAGAUUGUGGUGUCAUCAAAACAGGGAUGCAUCAAACUAGUUCAUGUGUUAAUAAUUUAUGAUAUGAAACAAUCUAUUUAAUCAGUGCCUGUGUAUUUCAAUUAGUGGUUGCUGCUUGCUUAUGUGCUGCUCUGUUUCUUUCUGUGUAAAUGUGGUGCUAGUUCUGUCCUUGUAGUGUAGUGCCAGUGCAGUGCACAACUGCAUAUAUAUGUCUUUUACACAUAUUUGCUCUGACUGUGCUAUAGGUCUUAUUGAUGAUUUGCACAUAAACCUAACUGUUUGUCGCACUAUAGAUGCUAUAUAGCAAGCUGGAAUGGUUUCGAAUGUGCAUGGUAUUGACAUUUUAUUCAUGUAUUAAAAUAUUUGACAACCUCAACAAGUAGAGGAGCAAGUUCAAGUACGAAAGGUGCAUGGUCUUGGCUUUCAGUUUGGAUUGGAUUAUAAACAUUUAUUUUAUUUCCUUUUCUUCCUUGUACGUUAUGUUCCUGUUAGCUCUUCAUAAGUGCAGCCUACACUUAGCUUUAAUAAAAGACUUCUUCACUUGCUUGGUGGAUAACAACAUGUGUGUGUCGUGAACUGAAGUUUCCUUUUGGUUUGUAAACUUGUUCAUGCUGCCCAAGUGUUUGUGUAUUUCAGUUAGUGGUUGCUGCCUUCUUAAGUGACUGUGUACUGCAACCAUGUAGUCAGUAUAACUUAGUUCAUGAUUUAAGUUGUCAUACAAAAUUAAAUAUGUUCUCUGUACAUGUUAGCUUAUAAUUUUAGGAAAUGAUUCACUAUGACUGGUGAGAUCCAUUUAUAGAUCAUUUAGAGUUUCUAAUUUCUAUUCCAGUCAGUUUUCAUUAAUGUGUUCUUGCAACAAAAAAACAUUGUCUUAAACUCUUAAUAUUAUAUCUAAGGACUGCAUUUCUGAGUAUGUCUCCAGUUAUUCUAAUUUCCUUCAUGAAUACAGCUUCUGAGAAGAAAUCGUUCCAGGUACUGGGCGUAGUGGUGAUGGAGACAUAGACUUGUAAGACCCUUGGGUGGGCGAACGCCCUUGAGCACCUCCACUUGAACUUCUGGUGAGCAAGUCUGUAAGGAACCACCCCAGGACAGUUCCAGUCAUAUUAGUCUUUUCUUAUCAGCUAGCUUUGCAUCGUCUGCUUCCUUCUUGUUUUUGACAUAUUCAAGAUGAUGAAUUUUCAGAUUACCUUGCAGCUUGUUUAGGCUCCCCAACUGUUUUAGCUCAUGCCCAUGUUUUGUCCUUACUUGAGAUACAACAAGUUCUUGUAGUAAUGUUAAACUACCGAUGUUCGGAACUUGCAUUGCAAAGCUAUAAAUAUGACGCUUACUGCUAGUUUUCUACAUGUAGUGCUAGUUCUGUACAUGCAGUUUAGUGCUUGUCAUACUUAGAUUUUUCCUAUGAAGUGAUGAUUUUUUUUGCUACCACGUAAAGUUGUGAAGGUGGUUGGUCAUGACAAAUUUUCAUUUGCCAUGAAAACUAUGGGUAUAGGGCAUUGGAUGGCAAUCAUUUAAUUUUUCUUGCCUUUUUUUAAUUAUGUUCAUGUUACAUUUAAUUGCAGCCUAUACUUGGCAAUAAGAAAAGCCAUGAGCUGUAGUUUACCUUUUGGUUUGAAAGCUUGUACAUAUCACAGUUUUGCCUUUCACCGUUGUUCAUUAAAAUCUCCUAUAUUUUUCUAUUGUAUAGGUGAAUGGAACAUUCCAAGCCCAAGGGAAUGCACUCCAUUAACAGAAUCUUCCCAUGAUGGAAGACCAUCCUCAUGCUACUCAUGUGGAUGAGCAUAGUUCUACUCCAACAUUUAGAAAUUCCAGUAGUAUAAUUAGUUGUUAAUAUUGUGAAAUAGGGUGCAGGUAGGCUUUCUUUGUCAAUUGCUUCUCUUGGCAAUUUAGGAAUCAACCAGUAUGCGUGUUUCGUAUUUGGUGACACCUCCUGUUAAGUUAAGGCUCCAUGAAUCAUGACUUGGAUAUGAAUAUGUAGAUCUUGUGAAUAACGAGAUUUAAAUAAAUUGGAUGGGUACAUUGUGACCUAGGAAUUGGAUGUGAUUUUAAACCGGGUUAUAUGAUCUUUGUGUAUACAUGAAUGUGAAAUGAUUUGGCAUGUGGCUAUGAAUAUAUACACCGCUUUCCAAUAAUAUUUUUAUUUGCUCUUGG